UGGCUCUCGCAUCGAUGAAGAACGCAGCGAAAUGCGAUAAGUAAUGUGAAUUGCAGAAUUCAGUGAAUCAUCGAAUCUUUGAACGCACCUUGCGCUCCUUGGUAUUCCGAGGAGCAUGCCUGUUUGAGUGUCAUUAAAUUAUCAAACCUCUCCGGCUUUGCGGCUGGUCAGGCUUUGGACGUGGGGGUUCCUUGCAGGCUUCCUUUGGAGCCAGCUCCCCUGAAAUGCAUUAGUGGUACCUUUCUUGCGGUGUACGACUGUUGGUGUGAUAACUAUCUACGCCAUCUGGUCCGCCGCAUCUCUGCAAAGGCCGAGCCGCUCCCAACCGUCCAUUCACUCUGGACAGCUGAAAAAAAUGACAAUUUUGACCUCAAAUCAGGUAGGACUACCCGCUGA
rnacentral:misc_RNA from 1 species